rnacentral:rRNA from 1 species
GAACGGGUGAGUAACGUGGGCAAUCUGCCCUGCACUCUGGGACAACCCUGGAAACGGGUAAUACCGGAUACGACGCGUUCCCGGGGACGGUGGAAAGUCCGGCGGUGCAGGAUGAGCCCGCGGCCUAUCAGCUUGUUGGUGGGGUGAUGGCCUACCAGGCGACGACGGGUAGCCGGCCUGAGAGGGCGACCGGCCACACUGGGACUGAGACACGGCCCAGACUCCUACGGGAGGCAGCAGUGGGGAAUAUUGCACAAUGGGCGCAAGCCUGAUGCAGCGACGCCGCGUGAGGGAUGACGGCCUUCGGGUUGUAAACCUCUUUCAGCAGGGAAGAAGGACGGUACCUGCAGAAGAAGCGCCGGCU